UACGGAGGGAGCUAGCGUUGUUCGGAAUUACUGGGCGUAAAGCGCACGUAGGCGGCUUUUUAAGUCAGGGGUGAAAUCCCGGGGCUCAACCCCGGAACUGCCCUUGAAACUGGAGAGCUAGAAUCUUGGAGAGGCGAGUGGAAUUCCGAGUGUAGAGGUGAAAUUCGUAGAUAUUCGGAAGAACACCAGUGGCGAAGGCGGCUCACUGGCCCGGUACUGACGCUGAGGUGCGAAAGCGUGGGGAGCAAACAGG
rnacentral:rRNA from 1 species